GGCUCCUGGCUCGGUAAGACCGAUCGCAGUCGGAGAAGGCCCUAGAGCGGUGCCAAAGUAGCUUCAGCACCAUGCUGUCCUGAGCAGCAUGCAGCACGAGCAGGAGGCUGGCGCCAGCGUUGGGGUGUCUGGGCUCCAGGCAAAAGCACACCCUCCCUGACCUGCCGUAUAGUCACGGCGCUCUGCAACCCUACAUUGAUGCCCAGAUCAUGCAGCUGCACCACAGCAAGCACCACGCGGCCUAUGUGAACAACCUGAACAUCGCAGAGGAGAAGUACCAGGAGGCCCUGGCCAAAGGAGAUCUUACAGCUCAGAUAGCUCUUCAGCCUGCAAUAAAGUUCAACGGUGGAGGUCAUAUCAAUCAUGCCAUUUUUGGACCAACCUGAGCCCUAAUGGUGGUGUAGAACCCCAAGGGGAGUUGCUGGCAGCCAUCAAACUUGACUUUGGUUCCUUUGACAAGUUUAAGGAGAAGUUGACAGCUGUAUCUGUUGGUGUCCAAGGCUCAGGCUGGGGUUGGCUUGGUUUCAAUAAGGAACAAGGACACUUACCGAUUGCCGCUUGUUCUAAUCAGGAUCCAUUGCAAGGAACAACAGGGCUUAUCCCACUGCUGGGCAUUGAUGUCUGGGAGCAUGCUUAUUACCUGCAGUAUAAAAACGUCAGACCUGACUACCUGAAAGCUAUUUGGAAUGUCAUCAACUGGGAGAAUGUGACCAAAAGAUACAUGGCUUGCAAAAAGUAAAACAGGAUCAUUAUACUGAAUAGAU